rfam:Medicago truncatula strain A17 chromosome 2, whole genome shotgun sequence.
GAGCAAGAGGGUCAAAUUGUGGCUGCUUCUUGCAUUGAAGGUUGGCGAAAACAAACACAAUUGGUGAUUCUCCGUGCCUAUCAAAUUAACUUAGUUUUGAAUUUGGCCUCGAACAAGUCGCUACAAU